GAUGAACGCUGGCGGCGUGCCUAAUACAUGCAAGUCGAGCGAACAGACGAGGAGCUUGCUCCUCUUACGUUAGCGGCGGACGGGUGAGUAACACGUGGAUAACCUACCUAUAAUACUGGGAUAACUUCGGGAAACCGGAGCUAAUACCGGAUAAUAUAUUGAACCGCAUGGUUCAAUAGUGAAAGACGGUUUUGCUGUCACUUAUAGAUGUAUCCGCGCCGCAUUAGCUAGUUGGUAAGGUAACGGCUUACCAAGGCGCCGAUGCGUAGCCGACCUGAGAGGGUGAUCGGCCACACUGGAACUGAGACACGGUCCAGACUCCUACGGGAGGAAGCAGUAGGGAAUCUUCCGCAAUGGGCGAAAGCCUGAAGGAGAAACGCCGGGUGAGUGAUGAAGGUCUUCGGAUAGUAAACCUCUGUUAUUAGGGAAGAACAAAUGUGUAAGUAACUAUGCACGUAUUGACGGUACCUAAUGAGAAAGCCACGGCUAACUACGUG
rnacentral:rRNA from 1 species